GAUGAACGCUAGCGGCAGGCCUAACACAUGCAAGUCGAGGGGCAUCGCGGGUAGCAAUACCUGGCGGCGACCGGCGCACGGGUGAGUAACACGUAUGCAACCUGCCCCGAACCGGGGGAUAACCCGAAGAAAUUCGGACUAAUACCCCAUAGCGCGUAGCGGUGGCAUCACCACUACGCUAACGAUUUAUCCGUUCGGGAUGGGCAUGCGCCCUAUUAGCUAGUUGGCGGGGUAACGGCCCACCAAGGCAGCGAUAGGUAGGGGUUCUGAGAGGAAGGACCCCCACACUGGUACGGAGACACGGACCGGACUCCUACGGGAGGCAGCAGUGAGGAAUAUUGGUCAAUGGGCGGAGGCCUGAACCAGCCAUGCCGCGUGCAGGACGACGGCCCACGGGUUGUAAACUGCUUUUAUGCGGGAGCAAACCCCUCCUCGCGAGGAGGGUUGAGAGUACCGCACGAAUAAGGAUCGGCUAACUCCGUGCCAGCAGCCGCAGUAA
rnacentral:rRNA from 1 species